UGUGUGUGUGUGUGUAUACACAUACAGUGCGGUGUGAGAUCCAGCUGUCAUGGCAGUACUCCUGCGUGCCUCCCAGCUCUGUGGUCAAUUGUCCUGGGUCGAUAUAGGCAUGGAGCUCAGUUACGGAACUAAGCAUCACCACCUGAUAAAAUAAACACACACCACGUACUGAUUAUAUGAGGAAGUCUGACAGAGUCCGCUGGAGCAAAGUAGUGGGACGUAACACCAGAACCAAGUGUAAGUUCCCUGGAAAUGAACCCUGAGAGAGAAAGUUGUUCCCUUGUUGCACCUCUCAUCGAGAUUGCUGUGACAAGCGAACCAGCAAAUGGCAGCGAGUGACCUUGAACGGCAUUGAUGAGCGGAGCAUCUCACAGGAAGACGAACCACCUUCAAUCUCCAGUAAGACUGCGCAUCAUUGGCUGGUGGACAAAGCAGGCGUGCCCAAGAAGGACAUCUGCCAUAGGGGGGAUCGAGCAGAGGGGACUGAGGAGGAGAGCAUGUGAGACACUCCUCUCACCACCUGCUCGUCAUGCCUUCAUGUUAAGUUAUAUUGCUGCCUGCUUCCACCAUGGACAUCUCGGGACACAAUCCACACACUCUGACUUCAUCUCUGUUUAUAAAACCAUCAGAGGAUUGUAGCUGAAACACCUGGUGUAUGUUUCUCAAUGGACGUUAUAUUUAAGGAUCUUGUAAUAGAUGUAAAAGUCUAGAUUUCAGAAGCUUUCGUCACCUGAAUCUGCUGGUGGGAUGCACAGGAUGUUGACUGUGAUAUUUUUCAUCCAAUUCUCCACCUUGUUCUCUCUUAUUUUAUGUGAACUCUGUGCAAUUGUUUGGACCUUUCCAAAACAUGCCAGGUGCAGCAUCUUGCCAUCGAUAAAUAAUUACUGUUAACAAAAGCAACGGCAACAAGAUUAUCAGCCUCUAAGGUCAGUGGUAGAUCUAUUGAGCUGCUUUACAGCAUGAAAUAGGAAGGUGUAGAAUUACUUCCAAAACUUGGAAGAGCUUUAUUUUAAGAAACAGGAGCCCUAAAUCGUCUCAUUGUAAUAUCAAUUUUCAAUAACAGAAAUAUAACCAGUAUUCCCAUUUGUUUUAAAUGUUAUUUUUCACAGUGCUGUGUGGGAAGUGAAGCAGAGGUUGACUCCAAGGAGCAAAAAGACAGCAGAAACACAAAAGCAGAACAAAGAAGUGCAGUAAUGGAUAAAGAAAAGAGGAGAGAGGGAAUCAGCAGGAGAGGCAAGAGCAGCAUGGGAGAUCCUUGCUGGGGAACACUACUGUGUAUGAUAGGGUGUGAGACUCAUGUUAUCUUUCGCUUUACCACUUUCUUAUCUUUCCUUUGUUUUACUGUCAUCAAGGAGAGACAGAGCACAAAUUGCAAGAAUCUAAGGCAAAAUCAAAAACAUUUCAGGGAAGGAUUAUAUAUUUUCAAUCAAGUGUUGGAACUACCAGACACUAAAAGGAACAUGUGGUAUAAAUCAGUGAAGGUAGACUGUUUAAUUUGCUUAACUUUUACAGCUUCAUUAAGGGAAAGCUUAAAGAGAAGUUCAAUACCACUCUCAUGUCCAUGUUAAAUGUUAAAUACAAAAAAGAAGCCGGUUAGCUUAGGUUAGCUUAACGUAGCAGAAAGACUGGCCAUAGGGGAAAAACAAACGACAACAAAAUGAACCACCUACCAGAACCUCCAAAACUAAUUUAUUAACACAUUUUAUCCUGUUAGUUUGAUCCGUACACAAACCGAAGUUUAAAAACAACAAUUCGUGAUUUAAUAGGGGUUUAUGCCAAGACUCCAGGAAGUCACAGAUAAAGCCUCUGUUUUACAUUUCAGUUUUAUACUGACUAAACAAACGAGAUAUAACAUGUUAAUUAGUGAGCUUUACAGGUGCUGAUAUUGGAAUUUUGUUACAUUUCUAAACUAAACUACGCUAACCGGAUGCUGGCUCCAGCUUCAUAUUGAACGGACAUCAGAGUUGCAUUUAUCUAACUGUUGGUAAGAAAGCAAAUAAGCAUAUUUUUUUGAAAUGUCAAACUGUGGCUUGAAGGUCUUGUCAGUCAUUGAUAAAAACAUAAAAUGAUAAUGAUUAAUGA